rnacentral:rRNA from 1 species
UACGUAGGGGGCCAGCGUUGUUCGGAAUUACUGGGUGUAAAGGGUUCGUAGGCGGUGUGGCAAGUUGGGAGUGAAAUCUCUGGGCUCAACCCAGAGGCUGCUUCCAAAACUGCUGUGCUUGAGUGUGAGAGAGGCUCGUGGAAUUGCAGGUGUAGCGGUGAAAUGCGUAGAUAUCUGCAGGAACACCCGUGGCGAAAGCGGCGAGCUGGAUCACUACUGACGCUGAGGAACGAAAGCUAGGGGAGCAAACAGG